rnacentral:rRNA from 2 species
GGAGGUAGUGACAAUAAAUCACAAUGCGGGACUAUUUAGUUUUGCAAUUGAAUUGAGAACAAUGUACAAGAGUUAUCGAUAAACAAUUGGAGGGCAAGUCUGGUGCCAGCAGCCGCGGUAAUUCCAGCUCCAAUAGCGUAUAUUAACGUUGUUGCAGUUAAAAAGCUCGUAGUUGAAGUGUGGGAUAAUGUAUAUUGGAUCUUUUAGUGAAGAUAUAUGUUGUCCCCCCUCCAAUUUCGGUCUGUGGGUAUUAAUUUACUUGCAGUUCGUGUUGGUCAUUUACUGUGAGAAAAUUAGAGUGUUCAAAGCAGGCAUUUGCUUGAAUAUAUUAGCAUGGAAUAAUAUUAAAAGGCUUGUAUGGUCGAUUUAAUUGGUUUGUUCAUAUAAGCAAGAUUAAUAGGGACAGUUGGGGGUAUUCAUAUUCAAUAGUUAGAGGUGAAAUUCUCGGAUUUAUGGAAGAUGAACAAGUGCGAAAGCA